CUGGCGAGCGCCUGUCAGAGGACCUACAAAAUCUGUGUUAGUGUUGUCUGAGUAUCAUUUAAUAAUUAAAACUUUCAACAACGGAUCUCUUGGUUCUGGCAUCGAUGAAGAACGCAGCGAAAUGCGAUAAGUAAUGUGAAUUGCAGAAUUCAGUGAAUCAUCGAAUCUUUGAACGCACAUUGCGCCCUCUGGUAUUCCGGAGGGCAUGCCUGUUCGAGCGUCAUAAGACCACUCAAGCCCAGCUUGGUGUUGGGACGCGCCCCGGCGCUCCUCAAAAUCAGUGGCGGCUCGGCUCAGCUUCAUGCGUAGUAAAAUGUCUCGCUACGGACGCUGGGCUGGCGCCUGCCAGAAGCCUAAUUUUUACAGGUUGACCUCGGAUCAGGUAGG
rnacentral:rRNA from 1 species